rnacentral:rRNA from 1 species
UACGUAGGGGGCGAGCGUUAUCCGGAAUUACUGGGCGUAAAGCGCACGCAGGCGGUUCGCCAAGUUUGGUGUGACAGUUGUCGGCUCAACCGACAAAGGACUUCAAAAACUGGUGAACUUGAGGACGAGAGAGGAACAUGGAACUCCAGGUGUAGUAGUGAAAUGCGUAGAUAUCUGGAAGAACACCAAUGGCGAAGGCAAUGUUCUGGCUCGUUUCUGACGCUCAGGUGCGAAAGCCGGGGGAGCGAACGGG